CACGUAGGGUGCGAGCGUUGUCCGGAUUUAUUGGGCGUAAAGGACCCGUAGGCGGUUUGGUAAGUCGGGUGUCAAAACUCCAGGCUCAACCUGGAGCGGCCAUCCGAUACUGCCAUGACUUGAGUCUGGUAGGGGAGUGCGGAAUUCCUGGUGUAGCGGUGAAAUGCGCAGAUAUCAGGAGGAACACCGGUGGCGAAGGCGGCACUCUGGGCCAGUACUGACGCUGAUGGGCGAAAGCGUGGGGAGCAAACAGG
rnacentral:rRNA from 1 species